rnacentral:rRNA from 1 species
UACGGAGGGUGCAAGCGUUUGUCCGGAUUUAUUGGGUUUAAAGGGUGCGUAGGCGGCAGAUUAAGUCAGCGGUGAAAUUCCACAGCUCAACUGUGGAACUGCCAUUGAUACUGGUUUGCUUGAGUACAGAUGAGGUAGGCGGAAUUGACAGUGUAGCGGUGAAAUGCUUAGAUAUUGUCAAGAACACCUAUUGCGAAGGCAGCUUACUAAGCUGUAACUGACGCUGAGGCACGAAAGCGUGGGGAUCAAACAGG